rnacentral:rRNA from 1 species
GCGAGAAACCUUUACAAUGUGCGAAAGCAUGAUAAGGGAACUCCGAGUGCCAGUAUCUAAUACUGGCUGUCCUUGUGCCUAAAACGCACAAGAUAGCAAGGGCCGGGUAAGACCGGUGCCAGCCGCCGCGGUAACACCGGCGGCCCGAGUGGUAGCCGCUAUUAUUGGGUCUAAAGGGUCCGUAGCCGGUUCGAUAAGUCCUCUGGGGAAUCUGGUUGCUUAACAAUCAGACUGCCAAGGGAUACUGUCGAACUUGAGACCGGGAGAGGUAAGAGGUACUUCAGGGGUAGGA